AAGUAGGGCCUGCUCACUGAUUAAUUAAAGAGCCGCAGUAUUCUAACUGUGCUAAGGUAGCAUAAUCAUUUGUCUUUUAAUUGGGGACUGGAAUGAAAGGUUUAACGAAAAAUCAGCUUUUUUUUCUUUAAAAUUUUAAUUUAAGUUAUUAGUGAAAAAGCUGAUAUAAUUUAGAAAGACGAGAAGACCCCGUAGAAUUUAAUAAUAUUUUUAUAUUUUACUAAUUAUUUUUUUUAGGUGAUAUAUUUUUGAAGGUUAUUUUGUUGGGGCGACAUUAGGAUAAAAAAACUCUUAAUUUUAAAAACUUUUAUUAAAGGAAUUAGUGAUCCUUUACAAGAGAUUAAAAGAAAAAAUUACCUCGGGGAUAACAGCGUAAUCUUUUUUGAGAGUUCAAAUCGACAAAAAGGUUUGCGACCU
rnacentral:rRNA from 1 species